UUGUGUGCAUCCAUUUGUGUGCAUCCUGUCCCAGAAAUGCUUCUUACUGACCUAGUUCUGGGGAGUUUACUCCCUGGAGUCCUUAGUUUCUUCUACGCAGAGUAUGC